GAUAGCUGGUUCUCCCCGAAAGCUAUUUAGGUAGCGCCUCGUGAACUCAUCUCCGGGGGUAGAGCACUGUUUCGGCUAGGGGGCCAUCCCGGCUUACCAACCCGAUGCAAACUGCGAAUACCGGAGAAUGUUAUCACGGGAGACACACGGCGGGUGCUAACGUCCGUCGUGAAGAGGGAAACAACCCAGACCGCCAGCUAAGGUCCCAAAGUCAUGGUUAAGUGGGAAACGAUGUGGGAAGGCCCAGACAGCCAGGAUGUUGGCUUAGAAGCAGCCAUCAUUUAAAGAAAGCGUAAUAGCUCACUGGUCGAGUCGGCCUGCGCGGAAGAUGUAACGGGGCUAAACCAUGCACCGAAGCUGCGGCAGCGAACGUAUCACUUAAAACGAUUCAGAAGCUUACGAUUGACGGAGCGAAGCGACGUCAAAGCGUAUACAAAGUCGAGUCGGUUUAAGGAUACGUUCGUUGGGUAGGGGAGCGUUCUGUAAGCCGUUGAAGGUGUCCUGUGAGGGGUGCUGGAGGUAUCAGAAGUGCGAAUGCUGACAUAAGUAACGAUAAAGCGGGUGAAAAGCCCGCUCGCCGGAAGACCAAGGGUUCCUGUCCAACGUUAAUCGGGGCAGGGUGAGUCGACCCCUAAGGCGAGGCCGAAAGGCGUAGUCGAUGGGAAACGGGUUAAUAUUCCCGUACUUGGUGUUACUGCGAAGGGGGGACGGAGAAGGCUAUGUUGGCCGGGCGACGGUAGUCCCGGUUUAAGCGUGUAGGUGUGUGUUCCAGGUAAAUCCGGUUCACUUUAACACUGAGGCGUGAUGACGAGGCACCACGGUGCUGAAGCAACAAAUGCCCUGCUUCCAGGAAAAGCCUCUAAGCAUCAGGUAACAUCAAAUCGUACCCCAAACCGACACAGGUGGUCAGGUAGAGAAUACCAAGGCGCUUGAGAGAACUCGGGUGAAGGAACUAGGCAAAAUGGUGCCGUAACUUCGGGAGAAGGCACGCUGACAC
rnacentral:rRNA from 1 species